UUGACCUCGAAUCAGCGUAGGACUACCCGCUGAACUUAAG
rnacentral:rRNA from 1 species